CGUGUCUGUGCUGCAACGCUGACAUUGCAGCACAGAAGGGCUGUGCUGAGGAAGCAUCAGCAGGACUGUUCUCCCUCCCUCCCCUCGAGGACCCCCCCCCAUGUCUCUCCUCAUCAUGUCACAUUACAGGAAAUAUUGAACUCCUCCGAGAGACGGCCACCUCUCGACUCCGCUGCAGUCGUCUGUUUCCUGGUGACCGAGUCAAGGUCGGCAGGUCGAGGAGACGAGACGGAGCUGACGCUGUAAGAGCUGAACUUCAUCACACACUAAAGGUUUCUCCUCUUCUUCCUCCUGUGAGGACGAAAACAUCCAUAUCAAGACUUUCAAGUCGUUUAAAUCGAGUGCCAUCACUUAUUGUGCUGCUGAGAACUGAACCCCGACGUGAACCUCCGGCCUUUAACCUGCAGAAAUGAACAGACAUGUACGAGGUUCAAACACAGCUUUAUUAUCAUCGAGGCAUGUUGUUGAGUCCAGAAUACGUUCCCUCCUCUCUCACCCUGACGUGUGGACUUCCUCUUCUUCUUCUUCAUUAGUUACAGAGUCAUGUGUACAUCAUCAUACAAACGCUUGCGUGAGUGAAUUACAUGGAGUUGCUUCGCGGAGAACAGAUUUUUUGGUUUGUUUUUUGGGAUGUAGCAAUAAUGAAAUGGUCAAGCUCAACAUCAAGACGCACGUGUGAGUUCUUUGUUUUUCAUCAAACCUCAGUGACAGUGAAGGAAACCAUCUGUGCAAACAAUAAAAACAUUUUACAAGAUGUGUUAGCAUCAUCUGUGCUAUCUGCUACUAUAUACUAACGCUGAAACACUCGGUGAACAGUCGAAGAAAUUAAUUAUUGCAGUGACCUGUUGUUACUGUUUCUCUUAAAGGUGACAUAUCCUCCUCCUCCUCCUCUUCAGUGUAAAUAAUUCUCAGAGCUCCUCAAAACAUGUGUGUGAAGUUUCUUGUUCUAAAUCCACUCUGAUCCUGUAUUUCAUCAUGUCUAUAAACCCCUCUAUUUCAGCCCUGCUCAGAACAGGCUGUUUCUGUGUCUGUACCUUUAAAUAUGUAAAUGAG